UACGAAGGUCCCUAGCGUUGUUCGGAAUCAUUGGGCGUAAAGCGCAUGUAGGUGGCUUUGCAAGUUGGGUGUGAAAGCCCCGGGCUCAACCCGGGAAGUGCACUCAAAACUGCUUAGCUUGAGUACGGAAGAGGUAAGUGGAAUACCUGGUGUAGUGGUGAAAUACGUAGAUAUCAGGUGGAACAUCAGUGGCGAAGGCGGCUUACUGGUCCAGUACUGACACUGAGAUGCGAAAGCAUGGGGAUCAAACAGG
rnacentral:rRNA from 1 species